GCUCUAACUGUCGGCUGGGCACCGUCCGAUAACUCUACGACGAAUUUCGCGCUGAUCAAGCCGGAACCGCAAGAAUUUUUACCGCAGACAUCGGUGGAAAAAGUGGAUACGGCGGCGGAGAGGACGGUUCCUGCUGUGGUUCCUGCCAAAGGGAAGCAUUACAGAGGCGUUAGGCAAAGGCCGUGGGGGAAGUUCGCAGCUGAGAUUAGGGACCCGGCUAAAAAUGGCGCUCGGGUUUGGUUAGGUACUUUUGAGACGGCUGAGGAUGCGGCUUUAGCUUAUGAUAGAGCAGCUUAUAGGAUGCGUGGCUCAAGAGCUUUGUUGAAUUUUCCUCUGAGGGUGAACUCUGGGGAGCCUGAUCCAGUCAGAGUAACGUCAAAGAGAUCGUCGCCGGAGCC
rnacentral:lncRNA from 1 species